rnacentral:rRNA from 1 species
AUUGAACGCUGGCGGCAGGCCUAAUACAUGCAAGUCGAGCGGAGCGGCGGACGGGCGAGUAAUGCCUAGGAAUCUGCCCGGUAGUGGGGGAUAACGUACGGAAACGGGCGCUAAUACCGCACACUAUUAGCUGAGCCUAGGUCGGAUUAGCUAGUUGGUGGGGUAAAGGCGUACCAAGGCGACGAUCCGUAACUGGUCUGAGAGGAUGAUCAGUCACACUGGAACUGAGACACGGUCCAGACUCCUACGGGAGGCAGCAGUGGGGAAUAUUCGGCAAUGGGCGAAAGCCUGAUCCAGCCAUGCCGCGUGAGUGAAGAAGGUCUUCGGAUUGUAAAGCUCUUUUAGUUGGGAGGCGGUACCAACAGAAUAAGCACCGGCUAACUUCGUGCCAGCCGCCGCGGUAAUUC